UACGUAGGUGGCAAGCGUUGUCCGGAAUUAUUGGGCGUAAAGCGCGCGCAGGUGGUUCCUUAAGUCUGAUGUAAAAGGCAGUGGCUCAACCAUUGUGUGCAUUGGAAACUGUUAGACUUGAGUGCAGUAGAGGAGAGUGGAAUUCCAUGUGUAGCGGUGAAAUGCGUAGAUAUAUGGAGGAACACCGGUGGCGAAAGCGGCUCUCUGGACUGUAACUGACACUGAGGCUCGAAAGCGUGGGUAGCAAACAGG
rnacentral:rRNA from 1 species